rnacentral:lncRNA from 1 species
GAAGGGCCAAGAAGAAUUAUCCGUAGCACCCGAGGUCAAACUUUGCAACAUAGUGGAUCGAGAACUGUCAAGGCGCUUUCCAUAGGGCACCGCCAUGACAGAACGAUAGCUUCGUCAAAGUUAUCGCUGCAUCGGUAAUACUUCCUGCACUGAUACGCUCCGAGAAAGAAGCUGCUACAACGUUAAAUGGCUACUGGAGGUGGCAAAGUGGGUGGCGUCGACGCCCACGUCCUCAACGUUCUUAUGAGGACAGGAGGGGUCCUUGUUUCCCCCCCCCCCCAGUUCUUCGCCGAUAGCGAGAGCCACCGGCUACCCCCCAGGUGCUGCGGCCUACCCCCCAGGUACCUCAGCCUACCCCCCAGGUGCCGCGGCCUACCACCCAGGUGUCACAGCCAACUCCCCAGGUGCCGCGGCCAACCCCGCAGGUGCCGCAGCCAACCCCCCAGGUGCCGCAGCCUACCCCUCGAGAGCCACGCGCACCCCGUAGACAGCCCAGGCAGCAGGAACUCGAGGGUGCUGUGG